rnacentral:rRNA from 1 species
CAGCAGCCGCGGUAAUACCGGCGGCCCGAGUGGCGGUCACUAUUAUUGGGCUUAAAGCGUCCGUAGCCGGGUUGGGAAGUCCUCCGGGAAAUCUGGCCGCUUAACGGUCAGAAUGCCGGAGGAUACUCCCAGCCUAGGGGGCGGGAGAGGCCGAGGGUAUUCCCGGAGUAGGGGUGAAAUCCUAUAAUCCCGGGAGGACCACCUGUGGCGAAGGCGCUCGGCUGGAACGCGUCCGACGGUGAGGGACGAAGGCCAGGGGAGCAAACCGGAUUAGAUACCCGGGUAGUCCUGGCUGUAAACGAUGCGGACUUUGUGUCGGACAAGCUAUGAGCUUGUCCGGUGCCGGAGGGAAACCGUUAAGUCCGCCGCCUGGGGAGUACGGCCGCAAGGCUGAAACUUAAAGGAAUUGGCGGG